UAGGGAAUCUUCCACAAUGGACGCAAGUCUGAUGGAGCAACGCCGCGUGAGUGAAGAAGGGUUUCGGACCGUAAAGCUCUGUUGUUGGUGAAGAAGGAUAGAGGUAGUAACUGGCCUUUAUUUGACGGUAAUCAACCAGAAAGUCACGGCUAACUACGUGCCAGCAGCCGCGGUAAUACGUAGGUGGCAAGCGUUGUCCGGAUUUAUUGGGCGUAAAGCGAGCGCAGGCGGAAGAAUAAGUCUGAUGUGAAAGCCCUCGGCUUAACCGAGGAAUUGCAUCGGAAACUGUUUUCUGAGUGCAGAAGAGGAGAGUAGAACUCCAUGUGUAGCGGUGGAAUGCGUAGAUAUAUGGAAGAAUACCAGUGGCGAAGGCGGCUCUCUGGUCUGCAACUGACGCUGAGGCUCGAAAGCAUGGGUAGCGAACAGGAUUAGAUACCCUGGUAGUCCAUGCCGUAAACGAUGAGUGCUAAGUGUUGGGAGGCUUCCGCCUCUCAGUGCUGCAGCUAACGCAUUAAGCACUCCGCCUGGGGGAGUACGACCGCAAGGUUGAAAC
rnacentral:rRNA from 1 species